rnacentral:rRNA from 1 species
GGGCAUGGCGCAGACUACACAUGCAGUCGAGCGGUAGCACAGAGAGCUUGCUCUCGGGUGACGAGCGGCGGACGGGUGAGUAAUGUCUGGGAAACUGCCUGAUGGAGGGGGAUAACUACUGGAAACGGUAGCUAAUACCGCAUAACGUCGCAAGACCAAAGUGGGGGACCUUCGGGCCUCAUGCCAUCAGAUGUGCCCAGAUGGGAUUAGCUGGUAGGUGGGGUAACGGCUCACCUAGGCGACGAUCCCUAGCUGGUCUGAGAGGAUGACCAGCCACACUGGAACUGAGACACGGUCCAGACUCCUACGGGAGGCAGCAGUGGGGAAUAUUGCACAAUGGGCGCAAGCCUGAUGCAGCCAUGCCGCGUGUGUGAAAAGGCCUUCGGGUUGUAAAGCACUUUCAGCGGGGAGGAAGGCGGUGAGGUUAAUAACCUUGUCGAUUGACGUUACCCGCAGAAGAAGCACCGGCUAACUCCGUGCCAGCAGCCGCGGUAAUACGGAGGGUGCAAGCGUUAAUCGGAAUUACUGGGCGUAAAGCGCACGCAGGCGGUCUGUCAAGUCGGAUGUGAAAUCCCCGGGCUCAACCUGGGAACUGCAUUCGAAACUGGCAGGCUAGAGUCUUGUAGAGGGGGGUAGAAUUCCAGGUGUAGCGGUGAAAUGCGUAGAGAUCUGGAGGAAUACCGGUGGCGAAGGCGGCCCCCUGGACAAAGACUGACGCUCAGGUGCGAAAGCGUGGGGAGCAAACAGGAUUAGAUACCCUGGUAGUCCACGCUGUAAACGAUGUCGAUUUGGAGGUUGUGCCCUUGAGGCGUGGCUUCCGGAGCUAACGCGUUAAAUCGACCGCCUGGGGAGUACGGCCGCAAGGUUAAAACUCAAAUGAAUUGACGGGGGCCCGCACAAGCGGUGGAGCAUGUGGUUUAAUUCGAUGCAACGCGAAGAACCUUACCUGGUCUUGACAUCCCAGAACUUUCCAGAGAUGGAUUGGUGCCUUCGGGAACUGUGAGACAGGUGCUGCAUGGCUGUCGUCAGCUCGUGUUGUGAAAUGUUGGGUUAAGUCCCGCAACGAGCGCAACCCUUAUCCUUUGUUGCCAGCGGUCCGGCCGGGAACUCAAAGGAGACUGCCAGUGAUAAACUGGAGGAAGGUGGGGAUGACGUCAAGUCAUCAUGGCCCUUACGACCAGGGCUACACACGUGCUACAAUGGCAUAUACAAAGAGAAGCGACCUCGCGAGAGCAAGCGGACCUCAUAAAGUAUGUCGUAGUCCGGAUUGGAGUCUGCAACUCGACUCCAUGAAGUCGGAAUCGCUAGUAAUCGUAGAUCAGAAUGCUACGGUGAAUACGUUCCCGGGCCUUGUACACACCGCCCGUCACACCAUGGGAGUGGGUUGCAAAAGAAGUAGGUAGCUUAACCUUCGGGAGGGCGCUACCAUCUAUGAUACGGGG